GCAUUGAUGUGAGGAUACAGACUUUGAUAACAUUAAUUCAAAGUUGUUUAUUUAAUGUCAUGCCCUUUUCAUCUAAACAGUAACAACCUAUAUAUUCCACAACUCAGAGUUUAAAUAAUGACACAUAAGUAUGAUAUGAUCAACCCUCUAGCUCUGAAUGUAAUUGUGUUUUUGAUGCUUGUAGCCUUUUGAGCCUGAUGACAGUAAUUAAAAAGAAAGCAAGGACCUCAUUAACUAAAUUAUCUUAUUGCUGGGAAGCCACUGGGUUAAAAGCCUUCCCUGAAUGAGCUGAUAUUCUUCAUCAUGAUGUUCUGUAGUUUACUGGAACCACUGUAAGAAUCCUCUGAAUCCUUCUUUUUACAUUGUAUUUUUUUUGUUUUUAGUUAUUGGCUCUAAAUAUUUACACAGUAAGCUGGUUCAUUGUUAAUUUAAGGUAAUGUGUGUUUCAUGCUUUUUGUCGAUGUUAUUUUUUCUUUCAAGUUUACUGAUAAAAAGACACUUAAACUGGCCAUAAAUCUAUCCCAGCCCCCCAUGAUCUGGAUUCAUUUUGAUGAUGGAUGAGAGUAGAAAAGACUCGGGAGGGAAGUUGGAAGUUGAAUCUGUCUAUUAUUUGGAUCUCUGUGUCGUGGCUGGUUUCUGGCAUGGUCAGUUGUUACUCCCGUCUACAGCAAGAGCCGAGCCAGAAUCCUGGAAUGGGGAGUAAGAGUGUUGACAUGACAGCUUGAUGCCAUCUGGGCACUUGGAUUGACAAAAUGAUGGAGAUAACUCUCUGUGCAGUUCAGAUGGACAGAAAAAUGUCCCCAGCUCCUGCUGUGGUGGCGGCACCAAACCCCAGAAUUGGAGAUGCAUGGGUCCAAGCUCAAUUUUCAGAAAAAUGUUUUUUUUUAUUUUUUUGUUUUUAUUUCUUUUUUGAAAGAGGAUUCUAGUGAUUGGAUUCACAUUCACAGAGUAUACUGGCUUUUGGCCAUAAACUCAUUCUGGUAUAAAUUAGCUUUUGCUUCCUGCCAUCCAGGUCCAGUAGAACCACCUGCCAAGUGUCAAAUGCUGGGGGGGGAAAAGUAAAUGUUGACUAAAAAAACUAUAUUCUUGAUAAAGGCCUGAGAUCAUGAUUGUGAGGGAAAAUGAAUGCUUGAAUGUAUCUGAUUGAUCUUAUUAUUUAUUAUAUAUUUCUAUCAAGAGCUAUGUAUCUCCAAGGUAAUGUUUCUACAUUUGGAAUGCAUGCACUAUUUUUUUUAAGUUGUUUAAAAGAAAACAAUAAAAAAAAAACGUUUAUUACUGUUAAUUGCAGUGUCAUUUUUUUCCAAUAUUUAAAGUUUUUACACUGGUAAUUUAAAAAAAAUUGAGGAUACAUGCAGAGAACAUUCAAACACCACAGACAAAAGGCCCCUGCAGGAAUUUGAACCGAGGAUUUCUUGUUUUGAGUAUGGGAAUCUAGCAGGCCAUAAAGAUCAAGUGAUAAAUGACAUGACAUUUUUUGCCUUACGCAUGACACAGAAGACUAUGGCAAGGAAGCUGGGAUAAAGAUCAGAGGGGCCAGAGGGAUCCACAAAGUGCCAGCAUGACCAGAAUUUGAUACUGAAUCUUGAGCUACUGCACAAUAGAGGAAAUAUAGGGGGCUUAGGGACCUGACAGAGACAUAAUUCAAUAUAGCCGGAGGAAAAGAUGGAAGAGCUGUUGCUCCCACAGAGUAUACCCACAACAGUUCCUCCCAUUUCCGAAAACCAGAUGGAUCUGCAGUGGAGGAAAAUCUGGAGCGCUGGUGAUGAAGGAAAACUAAGUGGCUUUUCUGGCAGGUUUUAUCAACAGUCUGUGUGGAUAAUAGCAAAAUGCCCAAGAGAUGAAAUGUGCAUUGCUUGCAUGGAAAGGUGCCCGCUGAUGCAAAUGCAUCAACUUAUCACAUUUUCUGAAAACUUUACCAAAGUUUAAAAGUUGUGAAGGUGAUUGACUUUUCUAGGAAAUAGAAAAAGGCAUGAUGGCAUGAUUGGACUUACUUUCCAUCCAUGCAUUAUCUCUGCCAGCCUUGUUUUCAUUUAAAGUGUCGUAAGAGACCAACAAAGACUUCUGUGUGGUUCCCCUGAUGAGAGGGAUCAAAAAAAAGAAUGGGGCACCGGUCAAUCUUUCCCUAAAUGGUACAUUAAACUCUUUCAAAGUUUAGAGGCUCCUAAAGUACAGCCAUGACUUUUCAGCUGUGCUCUAAUUACAUUCAUGUCCUGGGGUCACAAAACAACCCGUCAUCUUUUGUGCACUCACCACUGGGAUAUUGUCCCAGCCGCCUGUCACCUGUGAUCUUGGCUGCCCCAUUUGAUCCCCUCCUAUUGAUACCCCUGUUUAGCAAUGCCACGCUUCUUUCUGUUGAGGCAUCUGACUUCUUUCACAUGUCAUCUGUGUUGGCUGAACUCUCCUCCUUUACCUUACUGGGUGGGUGUCAGCAAAGAAUGUUGAAUGAGUUGAGUGGUGAUCAGCAGCCAACCUCAUGUCUGGCCCCAUCAUCUCAGCGUGGGCAUCUAUGAAGGCAGCCGGUGUCUCUCAUGGCCAGUAGGGUUUGGAAAAUCUGGGCUUGGACAUUUGCCCAGCCAAAGGCUUCCUGCCCCUGAAACAUUUCAAGUUACCCCCUUUUUUAAUCUAAAAGCCCAUAUGAGGUAGUAAUGUAAAUGCCGGAAACUUCCAAAGAAUGAAUUUGUGCAGUAAAGUUGACUAGAACGCAAAUAAACUACACUUUAAGUUAGAUUUUUUGUCACAUGGUCAGGAAAAAUACUUUCCAUUAUCAUCCAUUUGCUUUCAAUGCAGUUUUUCCGCACCAUUAUUACUCAAAAUACUAGCAAAGUCAUAGUUCAUGUCACAGAGAGUUAUGCUUUUAAUUAGAAACAUCCCACAAAGUCAGUGGUAAAUCCCAGUUUUAUCUGACGAUGUUGCUCUUAACAGAAAGCUCUUUCUACGAUUCUUUUCAUCUCAGAACUCUAGAAUUCAUGAAGCUGACAGAAAUUUGACAAUAUAAGGAAGAAGCCAUCACUGUUAGUGUUUGGUGAAAAGGUCCAAGAAAAAAAAAACUUGUUUCUUAACCUUUUAACAAAUUAAUAAAGAUUAGAUGGUUUGCACACAUCAUAGUAACCCAAAAGAUUUCAAUAAA